rnacentral:rRNA from 1 species
AUUGAACGCUGGCGGCAGGCCUAACACAUGCAAGUCGAGCGGAUGAAGGGAGCUUGCUCCUGGAUUCAGCGGCGGACGGGUGAGUAAUGCCUAGGAAUCUGCCUGGUAGUGGGGGAUAACGUCCGGAAACGGGCGCUAAUACCGCAUACGUCCUGAGGGAGAAAGAGGGGGAUCUUCGGACCUCACGCUAUCAGAUGAGCCUAGGUCGGAUUAGCUAGUUGGUGGGGUAAAGGCCUACCAAGGCGACGAUCCGUAACUGGUCUGAGAGGAUGAUCAGUCACACUAGAACUGAGACGCGGUCCAGGCUCCUACGGGAGGCAGCAGAGGGGAAUAUUGGACAAUGGGCGAAAGCCUGAUCCAGCCAUGCCGCGUGUGUGAAGAAGGUCUUCGGAUUGUAAAGCACUUUAAGUUGGGGGGAAGGGCAGUAAGUUAAUACCUUGCUGUUUUGACGUUACCAACAGAAUAAGCACCGGCUAACUUCGUG